GACGUAGGGGGCUAGCGUUGUCCGGAAUCAUUGGGCGUAAAGCGCGUGUAGGCGGCCCGGUAAGUCCGCUGUGAAAGUCGGGGGCUCAACCCUCGAAUGCCGGUGGAUACUGUCGGGCUAGAGUGCGGAAGAGGCGAGUGGAAUUCCUGGUGUAGCGGUGAAAUGCGCAGAUAUCAGGAGGAACACCAAUUGCGAAGGCAGCUCGCUGGGACGUGACUGACGCUGAGACGCGAAAGCGUGGGGAGCAAACAGG
rnacentral:rRNA from 1 species